rnacentral:rRNA from 1 species
UACGUAGGGUCGCGAGCGUUGUUCGGAAUUACUGGGCGUAAAGAGUGUGUAGGCGGUGCUCUAAGUUCGGUGUGAAAUCUCCUGGCUCAACUGGGAGGGUGCGCCGGAAACUGGAGUGCUUGAGCGUGGGAGAGGAAAGCGGAAUUCCUGGUGUAGCGGUGAAAUGCGUAGAUAUCAGGAGGAACACCAGUGGCGAAGGCGAUCAUCUGGGGUUGUUCUGACACUGAGGAGCGAAAGCUAGGGGAGCAAACGGG